AACGAACGCUGGCGGCAUGCCUAACACAUGCAAGUCGAACGAGACCUUCGGGGCUAGUGGCGCACGGGUGCGUAACGCGUGGGAACCUGCCCUUAGGUUCGGAAUAACCCCCCGAAAGGGGUGCUAAUACCGGUUAAUUUCUUCGGACCAAAGAUUUAUCGCCUUUGGAUGGGCCCGCGUUGGAUUAGCUAGGUGGUAGGGUAAAAGCCUACCAAGGCGACGAUCCAUAGCUGGUUUGAGAGGAUGAUCAGCCACACUGGGACUGAGACACGGCCCAGACUCCUACGGGAGGCAGCAGUGGGGAAUAUUGGACAAUGGGCGAAAUCCUGAUCCAGCAAUGCCGCGUGAGUGAUGAAGGCCUUAGGGUUGUAAAGCUCUUUUACCCGGGAUGAUAAUGACAGUACCGGGAGAAUAAGCCCCGGCUAACUCCGUG
rnacentral:rRNA from 1 species